rnacentral:rRNA from 1 species
UCUUGGUCCAAUUUAGAGGAAGUAAAAGUCGUAACAAGGUCUCCGUUGGUGAGACCAGCGGAGGGAUCAUUACCGAGUUUACAACUCCCAAACCCCUGUGAACAUACCUAUUUGUUGCCUCGGCGGUGCCUGUUCCGACAGCCCGCCAGAGGACCCCAAACCCUGAUUACAUUUAAGAAGUCUUCUGAGUAAACCGAUUAAAUAAAUCAAAACUUUCAACAACGGAUCUCUUGGUUCUGGCAUCGAUGAAGAACGCAGCGAAAUGCGAUAAGUAAUGUGAAUUGCAGAAUUCAGUGAAUCAUCGAAUCUUUGAACGCACAUUGCGCCCGCUAGUAUUCUGGCGGGCAUGCCUGUCCGAGCGUCAUUUCAACCCUCAAGCCCCCGGGCUUGGUGUUGGGGAUCGGCGAGCCUCCGCGCCCGCCGUCCCCUAAAUCUAGUGGCGGUCUCGCUGUAGCUUCCUCUGCGUAGUAGCACACCUCGCACUGGGAAACAGCGCGGCCACGCCGUUAAACCCCCAACUUCUGAACGUUUGACGUUCGGAUCAGGUAGGAAUACCCGCUGAACUUAAGCAUAUCAAUAAGCGGAGGAA